ACCAGAAAUGAGAACAGAGAACAGACUUUUCAGUUCUUCCCCCUUUUCUUCUGCACGGCAUUUUUUCCUAUCCUCUCUUUUCUUUUUUAUGUUUCCUUCGUCGUGAAAUUCUUUUGUUAAAUAGAGAACGAA
rnacentral:ribozyme from 11 species